CCGCCUUUAAAGACCGCUCCCCGCUCUAACUGAAUAUGCUGCUAACUGGAGGUGCUGGGGUGACAGGUGUGCACCCCCAUGUCCAGCUUCUGCAGUGCUGAAGAUGGAACACAGAGCCCUGUGCAUGGGCACGUUAUACAAGUACUUUACCACCCGAGCUGCAUCCCCAGCACCCCCAAAAGGAGGCAGAAGGAGAGUAAGGCCAGGCAAUAUGAUUACAAGACACAGUCAAGAUGGACUUCCCACUGCAAGGCAAGUGGCAUCAGCUCCCACCCCACUCCUGGUACUGACUUCAGCUGAGACACCCCUUUGCAUCAGCAUCAGCAUCCCUACAGGGAUCAAUGGGAAAGAGAAGUAGACAACUCCCAGGCACGGCAGAAACAGGCACUGUCCCAUCUUCACAGACCCACUGGAUUGGCUGGUCCCUUUGUGUAGAUUUCCUGGGUAUCUACCUCUGCCUGACCCUCAUUCGCUUCCUUCCUGUCUGCCUCCAGCAAUGCUCUGUCCAGUGGCUCCAUCCCAGCAUCUGCUUCCCAGAGGAUAUGCCGCGUGCUCUUUUCCUUCACGGCUGUGGUGGAAGAUGUAAUGCCUCUGUCUCUGCUCCUGCCACAGCACCUUGCCUCCUUGAUGCACUCAUCUCUCUGGAAUCAUAAGGCAAAAGAAGCUCUUUUCUCAUUAGUGGCUUUUGGCCGUGGCGUUUUUAUCACAGCAACAGCAAAGCAAUUAAGUACAGGAACCAAAGAGAGCCCGAGAACGGUUUCUGAGUAGUGAUGAGGUACUGAUUCGUGUUUCAGACCAGGAGUCUGGGGGAAACUGGAUCCUGUCCCUGCUCUUCGAGGUCAUUGCAUAGAAGAAAACAGGCCAAAUACGGGACUUUACUCAAGGGUGAUGGGGCUCAGGAAGAAAGGACAGAGUGCUGGAAAAGUCACUCACCACCUCCCCAGCAUUCUCAUGGUGGGGGAGCAACCUACUGACAUCAUGGCCUGAUAUCGUCAUCUGCAAAAUUCCUGUUUGAGAAUUGUGCAACUGAGCUAGGAAAACAAAUAUGCUGCCUCAGUGAGUCAAGAGCUGACUGUGCAAGCAAGAGACCCAGGGUUUGAUCCCUUGCACCCAAUAAAAGAGCCGGGUGUGGCAGCACACAACUGUAAUCUUGGCUAUGGGGAGAGAUUGAGGAUGAGUCAACUCUGGAGGGCAGGAGAGAAGGAAAGAGAGAGAGAGAGAGAGAGAGAGAGGCAGAGACAGAAAGAGAGACAGAGACAGAGAGAUAGGGAGAGACAGAGAGGGACAGAGAGACAGACAGAGACAGAAAGAGACAGACACACAGAGACACAGAGAAACAGAGAGGAGAGACAAACAGAGAAAAACAGAGAAAGGGAGAUACAGAGAGUGACAGAGACAUAGAACAAGACACAGAGAAAAGGGAGAGAUAGAGAGACAGAAAGAGACAGAAACAGAAACAAAGAGUCACAGAGAGACACACAGAGAGAGGAAAGAAAGACAGAGAGAUAGUCAGAGAGACAGAAAGAUAGACAUAGAGAGAGACAGAGAGACAGAGACAGAAACACACAGAGAAACACCCGAGAGGAGACAGACAGAGACAAAGAGAUACAGAGAGGGACAGAGACACAGAGACAGAGAGAGAGGAGAGAGACACAGAGAGGGAAAAGACAGAUAGAGAGACAGAGAGAUAGAGACAGAAACAAAGACACAGAGAUACACAGAGACAGAGAGAGAUAAACACCAAACAUCAACUGCCUCACCUCUCAUCCUCAUACACAUGUACAAAAGCACACCCAUCUGCCACAGAACACACAAAUCACACACACAGUUGCAUGAAAAUUUCUCAGAUUUUAAGUAAGUUCACUCUUUUGUGUGCAGCUGUAUCUGUGCCUAGCAGAGGCAGCAACUUGUGACCCACACCAGUCAGACUCACCUGCUAGGAGAUGGUGGAAGGCUCUGUGCAGGCAGUGAUGGCUGAACUGGGGCCUAGGCUGAUGAGGAGAAAUGAAUCAGGCCAAGGUAAUGGGGACAGGAGAGAAAAGCUUAUCCACAGAGCUGGAAGACAGAGGGGAGGAUAGAGGAGGGGAGGGGAGGGGAAGGACAGGGAGGGGUGAGGUGGUAGCUUAGACAGUUGGGAUUACCAGGGUUACUCGGGAUCCUACUGUGAAUGAAGUAAGGACUCUAACCAGUGAUGUAGCUGCUCAUCCUAAUCCUUAGCUGACUGUUCCACUUUUGCUCUGGGAGCCAUUGUCAGACUGCACGUCCCUACUGAACAAACAGGAAGUGUCUAUGCAGAAAGAGUAGCUACCUAGGAAACAGACAGGGGCGGGGAUGUAAAGGUGAGACCCUGGCCUCCCAACCCGACUUGAACACCAACUGAGCAGUGGAUUCCACUGAUUCUAUGCAGAGAAGAAACACCCAGGUAUACCUUGCCUUGUUUCAGGCUUUGAAAUUUCGAGUUGAUUUGUUACACAGCAAAUGUUAGAUGAGACAUUGUUCUCUAGGAGGGGAGGAAAUCCCAGACAACUAUCUGUCCAUAACAGCAUGCAUCCAUUGAACAUCAGAACUGCAGUGAGCCAUCUGUUAAGGUUUUUAAACUGUCCUAAUCCCACUGAAAUGUCAGUUAAGGUAUUUGUGCCCAUUUUACAGAUGAACGCCAUUGAGGCUCACAGUGAGUGUGCUUUGUUCACAUUAUACAACCGAUGCAAAGGUAGGACAUGGUGGUAACUCCAGGACUGUGACUAUGUGACGCUGAUGACCCAGAGAUCUUUCUGUCCCCAUACCCCCUAGUGCUGGAAUUAAAAGCUUGUGCCAUGACACCCAGAUUUUUCCUUUUAAACCAGAGGGUUAAAUUCAUGCUCUCAUGCUUGUAAAGCAAGCACUUUAUUGACUGGUCCAUCGCCCACAGAACCCUGAUCCAUCUAUCUCCCCAGAAUUCAGCUCUUCUCUGUUUUGACUUUUCUGGCAUAGAUGAGAAAGCCUGGAAGAUGUGGGGUUAACAUGACACCUCUUUGAGAAGGCUAGUCUGUGGAUGGCAGAUGACCCUGAGCUAAGGGCCAAUGUACCAGACAGAGGCUCCUAUAUCCCAGGCCUAUCCACGGCUACCCAAUGUCCCCCAGACACCUGGUCUCGCAGUUGGCUCCACUUGUCACAUGGGAGUCAGGGCUCAGACAGACAGAUUGUCCCAGGCCCAGCUAUUGGUCUCAACCAUGACUCCAACUGGCCAAAUGACCUUGGGUCAUGACCCCUUCCCUUAGUCUCCAAUUUCCCCAUCUAUAAAAUAAGAUCAGAGUUCCUGGCACUCCCAUGUAUCAUUUCAUUGAAGUCCUCACUGUGCUAGAAUUCUACUCUGC